AUUUAUACAUAUUCCUUACUGAAGCCAGGGACUUCUCUAAACCAUUUACAUUUAUCAGCAUAAUUUACAUGUUUUCCCCAUUCUCCAAAUCUGGAAAGUGAAACAGAGGAGUAACUUGCUCGAGAUAGCAUAAGUGGUAUUUAUUAAAGAAGGUAUUUGAAGACACUAAGGUCAUCAUAUUUUAUAAUGAGGCAAGGAAUCACAAAUAUCUACCCAAAUUCAGCACCUAGCCAGUUGUAUUUUAAAAUUCUAAUAAUUCAAGAGAGCUUUUAAAAACAAAAUAAAAUAAGAACAGUAAAAUUAAAGCAACUUCCUGUAGAGUUUUUCACUGAAGAGAAUUGGAUUUAGAAAAUAUAUUUUUUUAUUUAAGUAGAAUUUCUAAAUGAAGAAUAAAGGUCAUUAUUGAAAGAAGAGCAAGGACAUGAGUAAUAAUGAAUAAGAUUAUGCUUUCACUAUUUAUCGUGCAUUUAUACUUUGAUGUGAUUAUUCAUGUUUAAUGUUUCAUAGAUAUUUCACAAAGGUAUACUGAUUCUUCAGAUUUAUUUAUUGCUGGCUUCUCAGAAACUAGCAUCUAUUUUAGAUUCGUUACCCCAGUAAAAGUGCUUUUCUAGUACAGCCUUAAAUAUUCCUGGGUCUUCUGGGAAAGAGAGAAUUUCUUCAUUGUAGAAUGGCAAUAUGUCCUUUAAAUAAGUGGAGCAGAUGCCUGUCACUAAGUCAGAUAUAGUGUGUGUUUUACCAAUCACAAGCAGAAUAAUGUUCUCUAUGAUUAUAAAAGUGAUCUCCACCCAAGUCAAGAAUUUCCAUUUUUUUCAGUAUCAGGGAAAUAGAUCUUGCUCAUUGAAGCAUCUUAGUCAUUUACAUCUUAAGCUCAGUUAACUAGAAUUUGCCCUGCUUUCCUAUUUUUUGAAGAACAUGUCAGCAUGGGAACAUUCGACCCCAGUUACCCAAGUAGGUGUAUGUAGGUAGUGUGGGCUCAAGUUCAUUUUCAUCUUUUCUUCUUGCUGGUCUUUGUCAGAGAUACUUCUAGCAGCUUCUAGUUUCAAACACUCUUUUCCCUUUUCAAAAGUUAAGGAUACUUCUGAUUAAAUAGCCCAGUCAGCCUUAUUUGUAUUCACCUAGUUAGAGUCAGAAAGUCUUUCAGAAUCAUUCCAGGAAAUUGUGGGAAGCUCUGUUUUGCUUAUCUGUCAAGAUUCUUUGCUCUAGCUUGUCAUUUUGAUGCCAUAUUUGAUUAUUGGAUGUUUGGAGAGACCCCCCUAUCAUUGAGAAUUGUAUCAUUCUUCUUGAUAAUACCUACUUCAGCAUCCCCAUAUUCCUCACCAAUUCCUGUUUUAUAAUGAAAUAUGCUUCCUUUUUAUUCAUAUUUUCUUCAUUGAACACACCUCUUUGUGGCUAUUUUCACGAUAUUCAUUAUACCAUAUUUUUUAAC
rnacentral:lncRNA from 1 species